rnacentral:tRNA from 1 species
UGGGCUGUAGCGCAGUGGGUUAAGCGCAUGUGGCUCAAAGCACAAGGACCUGCGUAAGGAUCCAGGUUCGAGCCCUGGCUGCCCAC